GGGGUUGUGACUCAGAGGUAGAGCGCUUGCCUCGCACGUGCAAGGACCUGGGUUUAAUCCUCAGCACCACA
rnacentral:tRNA from 1 species